GAUGAACGCUAGCUACAGGCUUAACACAUGCAAGUCGAGGGGCAGCACAGUGUAGCAAUACAUGGGUGGCGACCGGCGCACGGGUGCGUAACGCGUAUCCAACCUUCCCGUUACUCUUGGAUAGCCUUCCGAAAGGGAGAUUAAUACAAGAUGGUAUUCAAAUUCCGCAUGUUAUUUGAAUUAAAGAUUAAUCGGUAACGGAUGGGGAUGCGUGACAUUAGAUAGUAGGCGGGGUAACGGCCCACCUAGUCUACGAUGUCUAGGGGUUCUGAGAGGAAGGUCCCCCCANACUGGAACUGAGACACGGUCCAGACUCCUACGGGAGGCAGCAGUGAGGAAUAUUGGUCAAUGGUCGGAAGACUGAACCAGCCAAGUAGCGUGAAGGAUGAAGGUUCUAUGGAUUGUAAACUUCUUUUAUACGGGAAUAAAACCUCCCACGUGUGGGAGUUUGUAUGUACCGUAUGAAUAAGCAUCGGCUAACUCCGUG
rnacentral:rRNA from 1 species